rnacentral:lncRNA from 1 species
GAAAACAGUGCCCAGUGUCCACCUGUAGCUCUCACUCCUUCAGGCUUGGUCUGUGAAUUUGGGCUGGGGAUCCAAAUGUUGGGGGCAGGCAGGCUGCAGUGAAAGCAGACUUCCUUGAUGAGUCGGGGAAGUGGAUGAUAUCCCCGAGACCCUGGUGGCUAACCCUGGCAUGCUGUAGUAUCUUUUCAAGAUGAUUGCCUUCAACAAGGGAGAAAAAAAAUUCUUCCCUGUGGAAUUCUGAGCACAAGGAAGACUGGCUGAGGGGAGAGUCCGUAGGGGGAGAGGCCUUGCAGGGCAUGCCCACCGGCUUCCUGACCUGCCUGCCCCCACUGGCUCUGCCCUGGGCAACUCUGCCUGCUCCAGCCCUGCAGCCGAAAGGGCCACAGGGAUUCGAGUGGGACAAUAUACCAGGCCCAUUUCUGGCAUUGAGGAUGG